AGCCUGUGCAAUGGAGCGAGACUCUGUCUCAAACAAAUAAAAAAAGCUUCUACACAACCAGUUACAGAUUCCUUUGUUCCUUCUCCACUCCCACUGCUCCACUUGACCAGCCUUAA
rnacentral:sRNA from 1 species